UACAGAGGGUGCAAGCGUUGUUCGGAAUUAUUGGGCGUAAAGGGCGCGUAGGCGGUGCUGUAAGUCUGUAGUGAAAUCUCUGGGCUCAACUCAGAGUCUGCUAUAGAAACUGUAGUGCUAGAGUGUGGGAGAGGUGAGUGGAAUUCCCGGUGUAGCGGUGAAAUGCGUAGAGAUCCGGAGGAACACCUGUGGCGAAGGCGGCCCCCUGGGCCGCACCUGACGCUGAGACGCGAAAGCGCGGGGAGCGAACGGG
rnacentral:rRNA from 1 species